rnacentral:rRNA from 1 species
UAGGGAAUAUUGGUAAUGGGCGAAAGCCUGAACCAGCAACGACGCGUGUGCGAUGAAGGCCUUCGGGUCGUAAAGCACUUUUUGGAGGGAUGAGGAAGGACAGUACCUCCAGAAUAAGCCUCGGCUAACUACGUGCAAGCAGCCGCGGUAACACGUAGGAGGCAAGCGUUAUUCGGAUUUACUGGGCGUAAAGCGAGUGCAGGCGGUUCGGAAAGUUGGAUGUGAAAGCUCCUGGCUGAACUGGGAGAGGUCGUUCAAUACUUCCGGACUUGAGAGGGGGAGAGGGAGGUGGAAUUCCGGGUGGAGUGGUGA